rnacentral:rRNA from 1 species
AACUGCGAAUGGCUCAUUAAAUCAGUUAUCGUUUAUUUGAUAGUACCUUACUACAUGGAUAACCGUGGUAAUUCUAGAGCUAAUACAUGCUAAAAAUCCCAACUUCGGAAGGGAUGUAUUUAUUAGAUAAAAAACCAAUGCCCUCCGGGGCUCCUUGGUGAUUCAUAAUAACUUCUCAGAUCGCAUGGCCUUGCGCCGGCGACGGUUCAUUCAAAUUUCUGCCCUAUCAACUUUCGAUGGUAAGGUAUUGGCUUACCAUGGUUUCAACGGGUAACGGGGAAUUAGGGUUCGAUUCCGGAGAGGGAGCCUGAGAAACGGCUACCACAUCCAAGGAAGGCAGCAGGCGCGCAAAUUACCCAAUCCCGAUACGGGGAGGUAGUGACAAUAAAUACUGAUACAGGGCUCUUUAGGGUCUUGUAAUUGGAAUGAGUACAAUUUAAACCUCUUAACGAGGAACAAUUGGAGGGCAAGUCUGGUGCCAGCAGCCGCGGUAAUUCCAGCUCCAAUAGCGUAUAUUAAAGUUGUUGCAGUUAAAAAGCUCGUAGUUGAACCUUUGGCCUGGCUGGCGGGUCCGCCUCACCGCGUGCACUCGUCCGGCCGGGCCUUUUCUUCUAGAGAACCGCAUGCCCUUCACUGGGUGUGUUGGGGACUAGGACUUUUACUUUGAAAAAAUUAGAGUGUUCAAAGCAGGCCUUUGCUCGAAUACGUUAGCAUGGAAUAAUAGAAUAGGACGUGCGGUCCUAUUUUGUUGGUUUCUAGGACCGCCGUAAUGAUUAAUAGGGACAGUCGGGGGCAUCAGUAUUCAAUUGUCAGAGGUGAAAUUCUUGGAUUUAUUGAAGACUAACUACUGCGAAAGCAUUUGCCAAGGAUGUUUUCAUUAAUCAGUGAACGAAAGUUAGGGGAUCGAAGACGAUCAGAUACCGUCGUAGUCUUAACCAUAAACUAUGCCGACUAGGGAUCGGGCGGUGUUACUAUUUUGACUCGCUCGGCACCUUACGAGAAAUCAAAGUGUU